CGAGUAUCGAUGAAGAACGCAGCCAGCUGCGAUAAAUAGUGCGAAUUGCAGACACAUUGAGCACUAAGGAUUCCAACGCACAUUGCGCCAUCGGGUUCAUUCCCGUUGGCACGUCUGGCUGAGGGUCGAUUUUCGCUUAAGCGUCGCUCGAUCGGUGACAAGCGCGGUCGUAGCGUCGUAAUGUCGGCUGGCUAUUGCCGCGUUUCCUACGUGACAAUACCCCGCCUGGUUGAACAAUUCGUCUGAAAUUUCGUGUUUCUGCGAAACCUCCGCAAGUGAAGGCAUAGCUCGGAGGCCACGUUUCACAGCAUGUAUGAGAACUGCGUCAAUGCGGUUUAGCUGGGAAACAUGCAAGGGCCUUGUUUCAACGAGUGAAUGCAUGAUGCGUAGGUGUGUCAUCAUUUUUGACCUCAGCUCAGUCGUGAGUACCCGCUGAACUUAAGCAUAU
rnacentral:rRNA from 1 species